rnacentral:rRNA from 1 species
CCAUGCAUGUCUAAGUAUAAGCUGGUUAUACAGCGGAAACAGCGGAAUGGCUCACUUAAAACAGUUAUAGUUUAUUUGACAAUCGAAUUUACAUGGAUAACCGUGGUAAUUCUAGAGCUAAUACAUGCUGGUGUGCCCGACUUUUGCGGAAGGGCGGNAUUUAUUAGAUAACAAGCCAAUAUUCCUCUGGUCUAUUGUGGUGACUCAUAAUAACUGAUCGAAUCGCAGGGCCUAUGGCCGCGAUAAGUCAUUCAAGUUUCUGCCCCAUCAGCUUUCGAUGGUAGUGUAUUGGACUACCAUGGCGUUUACGGGUAACGGAGGAUUAGGGUUCGAUUCCGGAGAGGGAGCCUGAGAAACGGCUACCACAUCUAAGGAAGGCAGCAGGCGCGUAAAUUACCCAAUCCUAACUCAGGGAGGUAGUGACAAGAAAUAACGGACCGAGGCCUUCGGGCUUCGGGAUUGCAAUGAGCCGAAUUUACACCCCUUAGCGAGGAUCGAUUGGAGGGCAAGUCUGGUGCCAGCAGCCGCGGUAAUUCCAGCUCCAAUAGCGUAUAUUAAAGUUGUUGCAGUUAAAAAGCUCGUAGUUGGAUUUCUGGGAGGGUGCCAAUGUCCGCCGACGUGCGUGCGCAGCGGCGCCCUUCCAUCCUUCUGUUAACGCCUCUCGGCAUUCAUUUGCUGGUGGCGG